GAUGAAUGCUGGCGGCGUGCCUAAUACAUGCAAGUCGAGCGGUAGGGCCCUUCGGGGUACACGAGCGGCGGACGGCUGAGUAACGCGUGGGAACAUGCCCCAAAGUGAGGGAUAACGCACCGAAAGGUGUGCUAAUACCGCAUAUGGUCUUCGGAUUAAAGGAUUUAUCCGCUUUGGGAGUGGCCUGCGUACGAUUAGAUUGUUGGUGAGGUAACGGCUCACCAAGUCGACGAUCGUUAACUGGUCUGAGAGGAUGAUCAGUCAGACUGGAACUGAGACACGGUCCAGACUCCUACGGGAGGCAGCAGUAAGGAAUCUUCCACAAUGGGCGAAAGCCUGAUGGAGCAACGCCGCGUGCAGGAUGAAGGCCCUCGGGUCGUAAACUGCUUUAUGAGUGAAGAAUAUGACGGUAACUCAUGAAUAAGCACCGGCUAACUACGUAGCCAGCAG
rnacentral:rRNA from 1 species